UACGUAGGGUGCGAGCGUUAAUCGGAAUUACUGGGCGUAAAGCGUGCGCAGGCGGUUUUGUAAGCCAGAUGUGAAAUCCCCGGGCUUAACCUGGGAAUGGCAUUUGGGACUGCAAGGCUCGAGUGCGGCAGAGGAGACUGGAAUUCCAGGUGUAGUGGUGAAAUGCGCAGAUAUCAGGAAGAACACCCGUGGCGAAGGCGGCUCUCUGGAACGCAACUGACGCUGAGACGCGAAAGCGUGGGGAGCAAACAGG
rnacentral:rRNA from 1 species